GCCUUCGUGGUGUAGUGGUCAGCACGCUCCACGCUUAACCGAGAGAUCCGUGGUUCGAUUCCCGGCGAAGCUU
rnacentral:tRNA from 1 species